UACGUAGGGUGCGAGCGUUGUCCGGAAUUACUGGGCGUAAAGAGCUCGUAGGCGGUGUGUCGCGUCGGCCGUGAAAACCUGCAGCUUAACUGUGGGCUUGCGGUCGAUACGGGCAUCACUGGAGUUCGGCAGGGGAGACUGGAAUUCCUGGUGUAGCGGUGAAAUGCGCAGAUAUCAGGAGGAACACCGAUGGCGAAGGCAGGUCUCUGGGCAUUAACUGACGCUGAGGAGCGAAAGCAUGGGGAGCGAACAGG
rnacentral:rRNA from 1 species